UGAGGUCACCCUCUCAGCAGUCUGGAGACCCUCCAGUUGGCAGGGCAAUGGGUACACGAGCAGCACAUCUGUUAUUUUGUAGCGUGGUGCUGGACUGGGCAAGGUAGGACAAACAGGGUGAGAUACAUAGGAAUUUCGUUCCACACACAAUGACAUAAGUUAUUGACUAAGUGACAUCCAGGGGUGAAUGGAGGACGAGGGUUGGGGGAUUGGAGCCUCGCACAAGGACACCAAGAUAAUGAAAUUAUGUAUUUUACUGCACACGGAUACAGUCUCUGUCUCUCUCUUUCUCUCACUCUCACUGUCUGCCAACAAUUUAUUUUAAGGGUUCGUAAUAAACUAUUGAUAAUGCAUUAUACAUUGUGUGUAUACCAUUUGUUAAUCAUUACUCUCAUAUUUAUCAACCAUUUACUAAUCAUUUAAUAAUCAAGUCUUUUUGUAGUCCCUAAUCUAAAGUGAGUGCUAUUUAAUACUUAAAAAUACUUUCUAAAUGUUUUCAGGGAUGGUGUUAUUUCCCACAAAAGAUGGGCAUGCCAUUGGUAGACAUUCCUGCAGUACCUGGUAAAAGAAUAAGCACACAACACAGGAUAUUUUAGGAAAUCCAGGUUGCAUUUGUAUUUUUGUUCAGUAUAUAUGUGACGUGCCAGGGAACGUUACCACCACACCACGGCUCUGCACACCACCAUUGUUAUGAACAGAGUGGCUGCGGAUCCAACUUUUUUGGACCAUUCUUCCUGACAGGUCCCAAAGCUUCUGUGCAUGUGCCGUAUUCUCAACUUUAUGCACAGUCUCUGCUCUGCGCUACAGGUGGCUAUAUCAGUCCGCUAAUACAGGACUAGUAAAGACCCAGUGCACUACUUUUGUGAAGAUCCCCCCCCUCAGCACCCCUACUUCCCUCUGCUAUGUUUAAGUGCAUUUCCCAUGAAACUGAUUUGAGAUCAAUGGUUGGUAUGCAGAUGCUGCAUGGACGUUUACCUGUAAAACAUGAAGAAUUAUCAUUCAAGAUUGACAGUGAGAAACGUAAAGGGAGGGUGACCACAAAAACGUGGUUCAGAUCUUCAGCUCCGGGGUAAAGAAAUCCAGGGGGGCAGGAAGGGGCGGUUACCUACAGAUCCGCAGCCUCGGCCUAUAGCCUAAAUUACAGGACAUGAGAGGAGUAGAAUUAGCUAUGUUCUCAUUACAGGACUGGUUCAAAAAAAUGGCAGGCUUUUUUCUACGCCAAAUCAGUCUUGUGAUGUUGAAUUGAUUUUGGAAAUACUGAAUUAUCACCUGGUCCUCGUGUGAAUAGAAAGGGGUACACUCUGUGUGGCAGGCAAGCCCAGAAGCCAUGCAGUGUUUUGGUUGUGUAAUGUGCAUCGUGGAUCAUGUGGAUGGUGUGUGGAGGUAUACAUCCUCGAGGCGGCAUGACUACCAAGGUGAACAGAACCGUUCCACAGUGACAUUUGCUUGCACACCGUGUGUGUGAGCUCACCAGUCACGGUCCAGGCUCUCUUAUUAUCACUGUGAUCGAUGUGUGUGCAAUGGUUAUCUGGGACAUUGCAUCACUUGGGCUCGGUGGGUGCAGAGUCAAUGGAUACUACUGUAGCUUCCACUCCUCCCCAUCGAUCCUUACUCUUGUGAUGGAAUGACUGUGUUGUUGCUCUCCGCACAGGAUAGAGGAGACUGGGGACAACUGUAACACAACUGACCCAUGUUACAUUUGGCCCUGCUCUCCACUACAAAUUCUUAGCAGUAUCCCCUUGAAUAUUCAAUGUCCAUUAUUAAUUAACCUUCAUUUGCAUUCUGUGUUGUUUUUCUCUCUAGUGGUGCAAUGUCAAUGUGUGUAUUGGCACAGCCUAGUCAAGGUGCCUCCCAUCCCUCUGCAGUCAUUAAACCUGAAAGACACUGUAAACAACAAGGCUUUGGAAAGAGCCUUAGGAUGUGUUCCAAUAUCCACACUAGAAUGCAUGCCAGUACAUUGCUUCAUUGUAAGUGGUAUGCUAGUAUUGGAACAGAGCCUUAAUGUAAGCAAAUGGUUUUACUAUCCAGUUUUCUGCCCACUACAUUAUGUUUACAGUAGUAUAUCCCAGCAGAGGUCCUCCUAACUCCACUGCUUUUCUGUGCUCCUCUCCCAGAGGCUCCUCUCCCAGAAGCUCCUCUCUAACCGCCUGGGCCCAUAUUCAGACAUCUUCCAAGAGUGCUGAUCUAAGAUCAGGUCCUCAAUGUCUAUAUACACUGAGUGUACAAAAAUAUUGAGUUGCCCUCAGAACAGACUCAAUUUGUCGGGGCAUGUACCCUGCAAGGUGUCAAAAGCGUUCCACAGGGAUGUUGGCCGAUGUUGACUCCAAUGCUUCCCACAGUUGUCAAGUUGGCUAUUUGGAUGGUGUUCCAUUCUCGAUACACACGGGAAAGUGUUGCGCAUGAAAAACCCAGCAGCGUUGCAGUUCUUGACACACUCAAACUGAUGCGCCUGGCACUUACUACCAUACCCUGUUCAAAGGCACGUAAAUCUUUUGUCUUGCCCAUUCACCCUCUGAAUGGCACAUAUACACAAUCCGUCUUAAUUGUCUUAAAAAUACUUAUUUAACCUGUCUCCUCCCCUUCAUCUACACUGAUUGAAGAGGAUUUAACAAGUGACAUAAUUAAGGGAUCAUAGCUUUUACUUAGAUUCACCUGGUCAGUUUAUGUCAUGGACAGAGCAGGUGUUCCUGAUGUUUGUACACUCAGUGUAAUUCUUAUUCAGUAUGAUUUAAAAGGCCAAACUGAUCCUGUAUCAGCAGCUCUGGAUCACCAUGCCAAUUCUAAUAAAUACUGGUCGGAGAGCAGCAGCCCCACAUUCCACACCCCCACCCCACACACACACACACACACACACACACACACACACACACACACACACACACACACACACAGACACCGCAGCCCUACAUUCCAGAACAACAAGAACUUCCCUUAAUCUGCCUCGGAGUCAGAGAUGGAGCAACAGUUGGUGGGCGGGAUGCGUGAGAGGGCUGUUGGGAGACUACCAGAGGAGAGGAGAGCUCCCCGCUGGCAGCAGUGUGAUGUGUAUGUAAAACGCUGGGAAUGUUGAAAUUGGAUUGAUUCUCUACUCGUAGCUCUCCAGGCAGCUCUAUAAUGAACCACUGACUGAGAAGCAGAUUUUGGCAGUUGUGAUGGUUUUUCCCAAAGAUGCAGGGAAACAGAUCCUAUUACGUUGUUUUUCCCAUAAUGUCGUGUGUGUGUGUGUGUGUGUGUGUGUGUGUAUAUUUGGUUUGUGGAAGGGCGCCUGUUGAACUUGGAAAUGCUUUGCAGAUGUGCAGAAUGUCUAUAGUUGAGCCCUGUUGCCAUUUUUCUGCCAAUUGACUGUUGUUGGCAGAGAGAUGGACAUAAUUCACCUUGUAAGAGGGUUUGAUGGGUUGGUUUCCCACCCUGUACAGAUCUGUGUUAUUUGCAGGGCAGGUUUUGUGAAUGCAUUGCUGUUAUCAUACACAGUAUGCCUCUUAUGUUAUUGACUGAUAGAUUGAUAGAGCCAUGUUAAUAGUAAUGGCUCCAGUGGGGAUUUGCGCUGACGUGGCCCACACACAGGUAGCAGACUGAAGUGGUCUGGACAGGAAUGUUGGAAGUGGCCUAUGGCCGUGCUUUUCUCUCUUGCUGCUGGUCGCUAGCCUCAAUUGAUUGCUUUAAUUUGGCCUGUAAUGUGCCAUGACAAUAUAUUGCUGACUAUGUACCUGUCCAGGUUAUCCACUUCUGAUAGUGAUGUUUUGAGCUGAUAAAGCUGAUAAAAUGAAGUGAAUUGAUGUAACAUUGUUGAAUUUGUGACUUGAGUAGGGCAUGUUUUACAUGUAUUUUUAUACAUUUAUGAAUCUCAACGCACCCUGAGAACACAGAUGGUCUCUCCUAAGAGAUUGUGGGAUGUGAAUAUGUUUUGGCCUCUGUUAUUAUUAAACCCAUGUACUGUAUCUGUUACGGUACAUUAAAAUCCCCUGCUAACUAUGAUGUAAUCACUCUGUUGGUAUGGAUUUACAGUACAGGGGUGCGUAGGGAGGUAGCCCUUUCCUGCAGCCAAAUUACCUAGUGGCCUCAUGGGUGGAAUGUUAUUAAUACACCGAAAAUCUGGUCUUUGUUUUAAAACAGUUUUGUUAUUUCAGUCUUCUGUGAUGUAUAUAAAGUGUAAUAUUGGGAUGCAAACUCAAAAUGUAACACAUUUCAACUUUAUGACAUGGUACAGGUGUCUUCUUUUUUUAAGCGCGUCACCAUGUGUGUGAGGUGUAUACUUUUGUUUCAAACUAGAUUUGUUUAAGACUACCAAGAAACACUGUGUGACCCUGAUUUAGCCCACUGCAGUAAAAUGUUAAUAAUGACGCCUUCUACACCCAUAGAAGACCAAAAGAGGAGACAUUUCAAUUUAAAAAAAUAAUAAGUGACUGAAAAGAGCGUCUUGUCUGCACUCAAGCGGUCGCGCGUAUCGUCAUUCCGCAAACAAAUAAAUCAUGCUUCUUGUGAUUUGUAAUUACCCAAAGAUAUGCCGCAAGAAGGAAAGGUCUUCAAAGUGUCCAGCACACCACAAACUGUGUCAUGCAGCCUACCAGCCAAAACAACAACUGGUGGAGUAGCGCUACCUGCAGCAUCCAGUCUCCAACAAAAGGAAUCUGCAUCCACAAGUCCUGCGCAGUCUCAAGAGAUAAUUACAAUGAUGUCUGCAUUUCAAACAAAGGUACUGCUGAAGCUACACAUUAUAAUUUAGAACCAGUGAGAGCAACUGAGGCUCCUUAAUCCUACAAGGCCAUCGACCACAGCUGAGGACCUCGACAUUCUGCCAUCACCGUUAGACUCUGUGGCUGACCUGAAGCUACUGUGUUAGUGGAUCUCAACAGAGGAGAAUUUUUGCAAACAGUUGGUAUGUUCUCACUGCAAGUACUGUCAGACAUAUCAGUAAUCAAAUGGUCAAUUACUCAACUAGACAUCCUAUCUCAGUAUGUAUGGGUCUAACACAUUGGAGAAGACUAUGAGGAGGAUGAUAGGGCGCAUUGGGACCAACAGACUGUGGUCCCAGUUCAGUAUGAAAGGGAGAAAAAAGUUGGCAUUCGAAGACCUGCCUCUGUUAAGUCAUGGCAAGUAGGUGCACAUUCAUACCAGAUACCCUAGUAGAACCUUUAUUAUUCAUAGCUCAGAAGACAACCAGCAUUUAUUUACCCAGAGUCUAUUGGCCUCGUCCUAGAUCUACAGUAUAAUACCCUAUUGUGCUGCUUUACUACAAAUUAAACUGAAUUAUGUGUUUCAAUCUCAUUCAGAGGCCUGCAGCAGAUGCCACAGAGGCCAAAAUAACUGAGUAUGAGACCAAAAUCGGUGAAUGCAUGAAGCAUGCGCCAUUUAAGAACGGGGGCAACAAAUACAGAUCAAAGACCACAGCACCUGAAAUGAUGGAGAGAGACGGAAGCCCAAGAGAGAGAAGGAGCACAAGCACGGUGUCGACCCUAAUGCUUUUUGACUAAAGAGGACAUUUUGUAUCUCCAGUGAUUUUAUUAAACGGGUCCAGUGGUAAAAAAAAGGGAAAUACUAGGGAAAUAGUAAUGUAAUUAUUUGCUAAUCCAAUUAUAGUUCAUCAAUAGUUAGUAAUUAACAGUUUUAUAUUGUAUGUUGUAUUUCCUUGUUGGUUAAAUAAUUAAAAUGUUAUUUAUAAUAGUCCCCUUUUUAGUCAUGUAAAUAGUUACCAAUCCAAGUAUAGUUAAUCAAGAGUUAGUAAUUAACAGUUUUAUAUUGUAUUUCCUUGUUGGUAAUUUAAAAAAAGAUAUAUAUAGUCUUUAUUAGUUAAAGCCAUCAUCGCAUAUAACACCUAUUACCGUUAACCAACGUUUGUUAAACAUUGGCAAACGUUGAUGGACGUUUCAAACCCAACCAAACCAACGUUGUAAAAUACAACUAUUAUAAACAUCUGCCAAUUAUUUGUUAAAUGUUGGUGGAUGUUCAUUAACAUUUAAAAGGAACUAAUAGCCAACGUUGUAAAUUACACUAAUACCAACGUUAACCAAAACGUUGAUGACACCUACGAAAUAUGUUUACAAAACGUAAUCUGUCCCCUACACUUUAACCAAAACCUAACAUUUAUCUGAAUGCAUUCAGAAUGUUUAGACAACCAAUCCAAUACCUACAUUUUUAUUUUUUAUUUAUAAAACCCAUUUUUGCUACCUGGGUGAUGAAUGACAGUGCCAACAUACUUGUUUUAUUACAUAGGAAAGUAUAAUGUGUUGUGUUUGAUUACUGUCUUGCCGAAUUAAAAGCAUGUCUUGUGAAGGCUUGUAGGCUGCAUUUUGACAGGCUGUUUCGAAGACAGUCACAACCCAAGUCUCAUGUGAGUACCGAAAAGACUCCCAGCUGAGUUGCAUAUGAGUACCCAAGAGAGUCCCAUGGUACUCAUGUCCAAUAGCUGUACCAAAACAGAUUGGGCACCAGGUACCAUGACAACUGCAUCCUUCAGAGACAAUAAGUAGUUUGUAUUCAAUGAGCUACAUGUUUAUGUAUGUUGUGUAUGAUCACAACAACGGAAUCAUUAUUUUCAAAACAGAAACUCUUAUCUAAAGUAACCUCAACCACUGUUUUAAUUAUCUAACAGCUUUUCAUUCAUGUUCAUUUGAAGUUUGGUACACGCUUCCUAAUGAUGGUGUUUCUUUGAUCACACUGGAGCGUGUGUGUUUGUCUACCACCAGCAGAAUAAAUACCAGUUGUUUUUCUCUUUCAUUAUGCAGAUAAUCUCACAUUGAUUAACAAAGCUCAUUACAAUUUCCAAUGCAGCACAAGCUGCUGAUCUGAGUUCUAUAGCGCUAUAGGAUCUAACAACCUGCCAUGUUGAGGAGUAAACUGCUUGUCUGUUUUCUCUUACUCUCUUUUCAGAUAUCUGAGUCAUUCUACAUUAUCCUUGACUGAUAUACCUUUCUGCUGUUUUUCAAGGAGGAAACACAUACCUGCAGGUUCAUGAGCAUGCAUGUAUGGCCCAGUACAUCACUGGGGCCAAGCUUCCUGCCAUCCAGGACCUCUAUACUAGGCGGUGUCAGAGGAAGGGCCAAAAAUGGUCAAAGGCUCCAGUCACCCAAGUCAUAGAUUGUUCUCUCUUCUUCUGCACGGCAAGCGGUACCGGAGCGCCAAGUCUAGGUCCAAAACGGUCAUGCCCUGAUCUGUUUCACCUGUCCUUGUGCCUGUCUCCACCCCCUGCAGGUGUCUCCCAUCUUCCCCACUUAUCCUCUGGGUAUUUAUACCUGUGUUUUCUGCCAAUUUGUCUUGUUUGUUCAAACCUACCAGCGUUUUGUGUCUCAGCACCUGCCUUUUCGAGUUUCUCUUUUCUCGCCCUCCUGGUUUUGACCCUUGCCUGUCCUGACUCCGAGCCCGCCUGCCUGACCACUCUGCCUGUCCGUGACCCUGCCGUCCUGUACCUUUGCUCCACCCCUGGAUUACUGUACUCUCCCUGUCCGUGACCCUGAGCCUGCCUGCCGUCCUGUACCUUUGCUCCACCCCUGGAUUACUGUACUCUCCCUGUCCAUGACCCUGAGCCUGCCUGCCGUCCUGUACCUUUGCUCCACACCUGGCUUAUCGACCCCUGCCUGCCUUGACCUGUCUUUUGCCUGCCCCUGUUGUUACAAUAAACAUUGUUACUUCAAACAGUCUGCACUUUGGUUUUACCUUGAUCCCUGAUAAAAACUCUGCUUAACAUCUUC
rnacentral:lncRNA from 1 species